GCUGAAAUAGCUCAGUUGGGAGAGCGUUAGACUGAAGAUCUCAAGGUCCCUGGUCCAAUCCUAGGGUUUGGCA